rnacentral:lncRNA from 1 species
AAUUCUGAAUACAAUAUUGAAUUUUGAAGCACUAACAACACCAUCAUAUGAAUUGGGGUUAGUCCACUUUCAAAGAUCAAUUUGUGGUCUUCACACAGUGCAUGUAUCUGACAAAAUUUCCUCCAUCCACAACCAAAUUUAACAGAAGCUUUUUUGGCCUUAUGAUAAAGAUCCUAAAAGAAAAUAAACACAUGUAUGAGAUUUAUGAAAUAAACACAAAAAACACCAUUAAAGAUUUUAUCAGCAAAAAAAAUAAACAAUGAAAACAACAAUGAGAACCAAGGAAGGAAAAGAUUUCACCUUGAUGCUGAAAAAAAAAGAUGGAUAUGAACGAAAAUCCCAUUCCACUUCCACUACCGGUUGCUGCAGAAACUGAAAUGUAGAUGG